rnacentral:tRNA from 1 species
UCCCCGAUGGCUCAGAGGGUAAAGCAUCUGCCUGCAAUGCAGGAGACCCAGGUUCGAUCCCUGGGUUGGGAA